GACGAACCGUGCGAACGUUAUUCGGAAUCACUGGGUUUAAAGGGCGCGUAGGCGGGCUGUCAAGUCGGUGGUGAAAUCGUUCCGCUCAACGGGACAAUGGCCUUCGAUACUGGCGGCCUGGAGGGAGGUAGGGGCAUGCGGAACUUCCGGUGGAGCGGUGAAAUGCGUAGAUAUCGGAAGGAACACCGAUGGCGAAAGCAGCGUGCUGGACCUUUUCUGACGCUGAGGCGCGAAAGCCAGGGGAGCAAACGGG
rnacentral:rRNA from 1 species